rnacentral:rRNA from 1 species
CCCUUAGAUGUUCGGGGCCGCACGCGCGCUACACUGAAGGAAUCAGCACGUCUUUCUCCUUGUCCGAAAGGACUGGGUAACCCGCUGAACCUCCUUCGUGCUAGGGAUUGGGGCUUGUAAUUCUUCCCCAUGAACGAGGAAUUCCCAGUAAGCGCGAGUCAUAAGCUCGCGUUGAUUACGUCCCUGCCCUUUGUACACACCGCCCGUCGCUACUACCGAUUGGAUGGUUUAGUGAGAUCCUCGGAUUGGUCCCGGAGCGGCCUCUGGUCGUGCCGGAGUGCCGAAAAGAAUGUCGAACUUGAUCAUCUAGAGGAAGGUGAAGUCGUAACA